rnacentral:misc_RNA from 1 species
GGGACUUCUGAAUGAUGCUUGGAUAAAUAAAUGGAAAUUCAUAAUGUUCUCUUUCGUUAUUCUCUGCUAUGAAUGAGUUGAGGGUAACUGCACAUCUUUAAGUACAUGUCAGCACAAAAAAGAAAUUGCCAAAUAAAAUGUAUGUCACUUGCUUACGCAAGACCCCUCUGUUUGAACACAUCAAGCAUCGUGACACCAAUUUUAGCAGGAGACUCGCAUACUGUAACCCCAGCUUCCUUGAGAGCUUUGAUCUUGUCCUGUGCUGUCCCCUUUCCACCAGAUACAAUGGCCCCAGCAUGACCCAUUCGUCGUCCAGGAGGAGCAGUUAGUCCAGCAAUAAAUGCAACAACGGGCUUUUGAGUUCCACUUUCCUUUAUCAAGGCUGCGGCAUCUUCUUCUGCUGUACCACCAAUCUCACCAAUAAGAACUAUACCUUCUGUCUGUGGAUCAGCAAUAAAUCUCUCUAAGCAAUCAACAAAAUUUGUACCAUUAAAAGGGUCCCCACCAAUCCCUACACAAGUUGACUGUCCAAGACCGACAGCAGUUGUCUGAAAAACUGCUUCAUAAGUCAAUGUACCAGAUCGAGAAACAAUUCCAAUACGUCCUGGUUUGUGAAUGUAUCCAGGCAUA